rnacentral:rRNA from 1 species
AUGGAAGCAGAACUCACAGCACUAGAUACAGCUACGGUUGAAGCAGAUUGGCUUCGCCGGCUCUUGAAUGACUUGCCGGUUGUUGAGAAACCUGUACCGGGUAUCCUUAUGAACCGCGACAAUCAAACUGUGAUCACGAAAGUGAGCAGCUCAAAGGAUAACAUGAAGUCAUCAAGACACGUUCAGAGAAGGUUAAAGUCUGUCAGGAAAAUGAGAAACUCCGGAGUUAUUGCAUUGGAUUAUAUCCAAACGUCUAAAAAUCUGGCAGAUCCUUUUACUGGUCUAUCACGUAAUGUGAUAGAUAAUGCAUCGAGGGAGAUGGGUAUGAGACCCACAAUAUGA